rnacentral:lncRNA from 10 species
GUUUUGCCAUGUUGGCCAGGCUGGUCUCGAAUUCCUGACCUCAAGUGAUAUGCCUGCCUCGGCCUCCCAAAGUGCUGGGAUUACAGGCGUAAGCCACAUGCCCAGCUCGAUCCCUCCCUUUUGUUCAACAAACUAAAUUCGAGCAGGAGGCUCUAGGAUUCCACAGGCAUGAUGAAAUGGAAGCCGGAGGAUCUGGGAUCGGUUCCUUGUGAGGCUUUCUCUGUUACUCUGCUGUGCGGCUGGCCAGGGCACUUCCACAUCAUUCUUUUCAAUCAUGUGUCAUAUUCAAGUCCAUUUCCAUUUUAUGCAUUUAUUCGUAAAUUAUGGAAGAUGAAAACUAAAGUGGGAAAGCACCAAGAAGAGGGUCAUCUCUCUCUCCUGGGACAGGAACACGAGCUCGAGUUAUAUAUUCUGUGGAGAGAAAGCAAGAGUUUUUCUUCCCCCCUUGGAAGAUGAAUUGCAUUUUAUCAGUUAUCUCAGAGAAGCACUUUGAAAUGAAGUAAGGAAAUAAACAUGGCUCUACAUUUUUAAACAGAUGAUUUGUUACCAGACUAUGACCAUAAUGGAAAAAAAGCCAACUCCCUUGAGGUUUCUGAUGCCAAGGCAUGACUGCACAUUGAAUGUCAUCAGAGUUCUCCUGGCUGGUUACAUGUUCAUUGUGAAUCUGCAAAGCGGGGGCACUACUCAUUGUUGUCACUCACGGGUAGAAGAAGCCAAUGGAGGCUCGAUUUGGACAUGAACUUCCCAGGGACUAGAGAAUGCGGCGCUUAAAACUUCUGCUAAAUUAUGUGUUUCCUUUGUGCUUCCAUUUCUUUGGCCACAGCAAGUCACAUGACAUGAUAGGAAACACAACCCUCCCACAAAGCCAGUGGAGAACUGGAAUCUUUGCAAAUGGCCCUCAAGCCUGUCAUCUAUGUGCAUGGUAACAGGAGAGGGAAUUGGAAAGGUGAGUUAGGGGCUGCUUUCUGAAGUUGUGUUUGCAAAACACACAAACCAGUUUAAUAUGGUCAGGCUUUGUGUCCCUGCCCAAAUCUCAUCUUGAAUUGUAAUCCCCAGAUGUUGAGGGAGAGACCUGGUGGGAAGUGACUGAAUCAUGGGGGCAGUUGCCCCCCUGCUGUUCUCAUGAUAGUGAUGAGUUCUCAUGAGAUCUGAUGGUUUUAUAAGGCAGUUUUCCCUGCUCUUGCUAGCUCUUCUCUCUCCUGCUGCCAUGUGAAGAAGAUCCUUGCCUCCCCUUUGUCCUCCAUGAUUGUAAGUUUCCUGAGGUCUCCCCAUCCAUGUGGAACUGUGAGUCAAUAAAACCUCUUUCCUUUAUAAAUUUCCAGUCUUGGGUAGUUCUUUACAGCAGUGUGAAAAUGGACUAAUACAUAGUUUUACCUUUAUUUUGUUUCUGUGAGGUGUUUUUCAGUUGAAGGUAUUCAUGG